rnacentral:lncRNA from 1 species
AUAUAUGCAUAUGAACGAAAGAUUUAAUAUUCAGCAUAUUAGUAAGAACGUUACUUUGCUCUGAUACCAACUUUAAAAUAACAUGAUGACGGAUUACUUGCUCUCAUACCAAAUUUAAAGACAUGACGGAAUUAAUAAAGAUUAAGAGAAGAUUAUACCUGAAUGAUGCGGUGGAUUAUAUUGAUGAUGGAUUAUGUUGAAUAAUUAGAUGGUUAUGUGGAUAAUUUGGAUAGAACUCUACUAUUUGAAAAUAGAAAAACUAUUUCAACAGAGAAGAAAGUUGAGAUCAACUCAAGUCUUAAACACUCAAACUUAACUUGUUUAUUUCAUAUGGGCAAAGGCCCUGUUUAUAGGCUCAAGAGAGUCGGUUACAAUUAUUGUUGCAAUCGUCUGAUUGCAAUACAACAUACAUAUUUACAUUGUAACCCCCUAGACUAUUGAGGGUUACACACUUUAAGUUUGGCAAGUACAAUUACAUCGAUUUCACCCAUACCUCAAGUAUAUCAAAAGUGCCAACAACCAUAUAGCAGACACGGUAACAAGUGAAUGGAAGCCAUCAUAAAGCAAGCUAGAUAAGAAGCAACACUAUUCAUGGAAGACUAACACAAGAAUUAAAAAAUAUCAGCUUUUUCGGAGGCGGGAGGAAUGACGCAAGCAAUGACAUAAAAAGCCAUUAUUGAAGAUUAACGAGAGGAAUAAUGUAAGCAAUGAUGUAAAAAGCCAUUAUUGAAGACACCUAAUGAUGUAAGCAAUGACAUAAAAAGCCAUUAUUGAAGACACCUGUCUUUUCAAUGUGGAAGGGAUUAUUAUAUUUUUAAUUAUGUAAAGUGUUGGUAGAAUUAUUUGUAUUUGUCGGUAGGAUAAUUAUUAAGUGUAUGUUGUAUUAUUUGUGAUGUAACAUAAAGUGUGUAACCCUCAAUAGUCUAGGGGGCUAUAAUGUAAAUAUGUAUGUCGUAUUGCAAUCAAACGAUUGCAACAAUAAUUGUAACCGGCUCUCUUGAGCCUAUAAAUAGGGCAUUUGCCCAUAUGAAAUAAACAAGUUAAGUUUGAGUGUUUAAGACUUGAGUUGAUCUCAAUUGUCUUCUCUGUUGAAAUAGUUGUUCUAUUUCUGAAUAGCAGAGUUCUAUCCAAAUUAUCCACAUAAUCAUCCAAUUAUUCAACAUAAUCCAUCAUCAAUAUAAUCCACCACAUCAUUCAGGUAUAAUCUUAUCUUAAUCUUUCUUAAUUCCGUCAUGUUGUUAAAUUUGGUAUCAGAGCCAUUAAUCCGUCACCAUGUUAUUUUGAAUUUGGUAUCAGAGCUAAGUAACGUUCUUACUACUAUUUUGAAUAUUAAAUCUUUCAUUCAUAUGAUAUAUGUUCAUCAUGCAUCAUCAUAUAUAUUCUUAUAAAUAUUCAUCGUUACAAACAUUCAUCGUUAUAAGUUAUAAACUCAUUAUUAAAAUCAAAUAUUAUUAUCCACCUACAAUUUAAACAUAUGUCGGUAGAAGUUUUUUUACAAUUAUGAUUAUGUACCAAGAAGUUAGAAACACAUUUCAUAUGUCAAAAAAGUUUUUAAUUCUCUGACUGCAUCAUAAAUAUAAUAGUAUUAAAAAACCCCACCAUCAACAUCCUAUUAGAAUUUAUAAAUCGUAACUUUGAAAAAAAAAAUAUAAUAAAAAAUAAAUUAUCAUUUUGUUUCUAAAAAUUAUAAUCAUAAGUUUUUCAAGUUUAAAUAUUAACAAAUAAAAAAUCAUGAAAAUAAAAUAACAAGAAUAAUUUAUUUAAUAUGUCUCAAGAAAUAGAAAAUACACCAAUCAUUAUUAAUAACGAAGAAAACGAAUCGGGAUACUCUUUUGAUGCUCUAAUUAAUAAAAAUAAUAUUAAUAAAGAUGCUAUAAGAAAAUCAAAUUUUACACUAUCUGAAAAACAUAAUUUUAGAUAUAACUCAUUGAGAGAAGAUUAUACAUGAAUGAUGUGUUGGAUUAUAUUGAUGAUGGAUUAUGUUGAAUGAUUUGAUGAUUAUGUGGAUAAUUUGGAUAAGGAUCUGCUAUUCAGAAAUAAAACAACUAUUUCAACAGAGAAGACAAUUGUGAUCAACUCAAGUCUUAAACACUCAAACUUAACUUGUUUAUUUCAUAUGGGCAAAGACCCUAUUCAUAGGAUCAAGAGAGUCGGUUACAAUUAUUGUUGCAAUCGUUUGAUUGCACUACGACGUACAUAUUUACAUUAUAGCCCCCUAAACUAUUGAGGGUUACACACUUUAUGUUACAUCACAAAUAAUACAACCGACACUUAAUAAUUAUCCUACCGACACUUCUAUUUAAUUACGUAAAAAUAACAAUCCUUUAUUUAAGACACGUGUCCUUUCAACGUGGAAGGGAUUGUUAUUUUUACGUAAUUAAAUAGAAGUAUCGGUAGGAUAAUUAUUAAGUGUCGGUUGUAUUAUUUGUGAUGUAACAUCAAGUGUGUAACCCUCAAUAGUCUAGGGGCUAUAAUGUAAAUAUAUAUGUCGUAUUGCAAUCAAACGAUUGCAACAAUAAUUGUAACCGGCUCUCUUGAGCAUCAAAAGUGUAUCCCACUUCAUUUUCUUCGUUAAUAAUAAUGAUUGGUGUAUUUUCUUUUUCCUGAGACAUAUUUAAUAAAUUAUUCUUGUUAUUUUAUCUUCAAGAUUUUUUAUUUGUUAAUAUUUAAACUUGAAAAACUCAUGAUUAUAAUUUUUAGAAACAAAAUGAUAAUUUAUUUUUUCUUUCAAAGUUACGAUUUAUCAAUUCUAAUAAGAUGUUGAUGGUGGGGUUUUCUAAUACUAUUAUAUUUAUGAUGCAGUUAGAGAAUUAAAAACCUCUUUGACAUAUGAAAUGUGUUUCUAACUUCUUGGUACAUAGUCAUAAUUGUAAAAACUCUUCUACCGACAUAUGUUUAAAUUGUAGGUGGAUAGUAGUAUUUGAUUUUAAUAAUGAGUUUAUGAUAACAACUUAUAACGAUGAAUUAUUGUAACGAUGAAUAUAUUGGAAUAGUGUCUAAGGCUGCAACUAUAUUAGGCAAAUAUUUGACCCGGUUGUGCAUGGUCCUUUUGGGUUGCCUUCACCAUAGCAACUUGAUAGGAUGAUUUAUUAUGAGAGAGUAAAUAUUAUUAAUAUAUUAUGAGAAUAAUAUAAAGAAUAAUAUAUUGUUAUUUGAUUAAUAUAAGUCAUAGAAUUAAUUGGAAUUAAUUUGGUGACUUAAAGAGAUUAAUUAAAUAAGAGGGUAUAAACUGUCAAUUGUUUGAUAGUUAAACUUUAGACUGUAAAUCCAUAUAGAUAUGGAUUGGACGGAUUCUAGAAGCUAAAGGAUAGCUCAAAUCGUCCAAGAGUUAUCUAAGGAAUGGAUUUGGAUAGCCUUAAGAGAAGAUUAUCCAAUUAGGGUUUAGGUUGUAACCCUUAAGGAGUCUACAAGUAUAAAUAGACCCUAUGGCAAAGGGAAAUCGGCACUUCAUCUAAAGUAAGAGAACCCUGGCCGAUUUCCUCCCCUCUCCUCUCUCCCAAAUCAUCCUCCUUGCUAUUUGGUGUUUGUAAGCCAUUAGAGGAGUGACAAUUGUGACUCUAGAAGCUCCAAGACAACAAGAUCAACAAGGAAUUCAAAGGUAUGAUUCUAGAUCUGUUUCAAUAUUGUUAUUACACCUAAAUAGUCAUUAGAAGUCUUGGAUUCAAAGCAUGUUUAAUUAGAAAGCCUAGAUCCAAGCAUUAGGGUUUUGCAUGCGCACAUAGGAAAGUUCUUAUGGCUAAAACCCAUCAGUGGUAUCAGAGCCUAGCUUGGUUUUCAUUAAAUUGUUGCUUGAUUAACUGAAACAAACCUGCAAAAUUCGAUUUUUUGGUUUCUGAGUCAUGGACUCGGCGAGUUCCAAAGUGGACUCGGCGAGUUGGCCUGACUCGGCGAGUCCUUUUGUGCACUCGGCGAGUCCAGGCGUCAGGAAUGGCCAGAUUCGGGAUUUCUUCAUAAUUAUCUUAUGGAAACUUACCUUAAUCAUAAUAGAUCAAUCUAAAUCCGAUUUUGUUAUAUAUAUGACUAUUAUCUUGAUCUAGUUAAAGGUAUUUAUCAACUAAUAAAAUAUUUAAUUUCCUUAUAUGAUAAUUAAUUAAUUAUUUUAAUUAUUUUGGUAAUUAUCUUUCAAAGAAAUCUUGAAUAAAAUCAAAUAUAGAUAAUUAGGAUAUUAAUUGUUAAUUGGAAUUAUUUGUUAUUUAAUCCUCCAUGUUUUAAAUGUUUAAAACUUGCCCUCAAGUUUUGAAAUUUAUAUUUGUGAUUAAAAGUUUUAAUUUAGACAACUUAAAUUUCAAACCCUAGAUUUUAAGGUAUAAUCUUAUCUUAAUCUUUC